rnacentral:rRNA from 1 species
CCUACGGGAGGCAGCAGUGAGGAAUAUUGGUCAAUGGGCGGGAGCCUGAACCAGCCAAGUCGCGUGAGGGAAGACGGUCCUAUGGAUUGUAAACCUCUUUAGGCGGGGAGCAAUGCCGGGCACGCGUGCCCGGAGGGAGAGUACCCGCAGAAUAAGCAUCGGCUAACUCCGUGCCAGCAGCCGCGGUAAUACGGAGGAUGCGAGCGUUAUCCGGAUUUAUUGGGUUUAAAGGGUGCGUAGGCGGAUUUUUAAGUCAGCGGUAAAAUGUCCGGGCUCAACCCGGGCCGGCCGUUGAAACUGGGGAUCUGGAGUGGGAGAGAAGUAUGCGGAAUGCGUGGUGUAGCGGUGAAAUGCAUAGAUAUCACGCAGAACUCCGAUUGCGAAGGCAGCAUACCGGCGCCCGACUGACGCUGAGGCACGAAAGCGUGGGGAUCGAACAGGAUUAGAUACCCCUGUAGUC